rnacentral:tRNA from 1 species
UUAAAAGCAGUUUUUGUAAACAUAAAUUUUGGAUAUUUAUAACUGACUAAUUGUCACUUUUAAA